rnacentral:rRNA from 1 species
UACGUAGGGGGCAAGCGUUGUCCGGAUUUAUUGGGCGUAAAGAGCGUGUAGGCGGUCAGGUAGGUCCGUUGUGAAAACUCGAGGCUCAACCUCGAGACGCCGAUGGAAACCAUCUGACUAGAGUCCGGAAGAGGAGAGUGGAAUUCCGUGGUGUAGCGGUGAAAUGCGCAGAUAUCAGGAGGAACACCGAUGGCGAAGGCAGCUCGCUGGGACGGUACUGACGCUGAGGCGCGAAAGCGUGGGGAGCAAACAGG